GCCACUGCACUCCAGCCUGGGCGACAGAGCGAGACUCUGUCUCAAAAAAAAAAAGGGAAGGCAAUCUCCCUAUGUUGCCCAUGCUGGUGUUGAACUUCUGGCCUCAAGUGAUCUUCCUACCUUGCCUCCCAGAGUGCUGCGAUUACAGUCCCCUACUUGUUCUGAAGCCUGUGAGGAAUUCCAGCCAGCUUGGCAGACACGCUGAACCACCUUCUCCUGAUGUUAGGGUCUCUUCUCGUUUCUACCCCAUCAUUUUGGAGUCAGUCUUAAUACACACAGAAACAGAGAAGUCAAAUACUGUCACUGGCCUGAUUUUGAGAAACUUUGCCAUCCAGGAAAUAAACAAUUAUUUUACUUGACUGA